rnacentral:lncRNA from 1 species
GAAAGAGCAAGUCAGCAGUUCCAUUGCCUGUUUGAAUUCCCAUCUAAGAAGCUCUGAAAGCUCAAGACAAAAUGCCAGUGGACUUAGGCUCUCCUGCUUCCUAGUUCUACCAGAAGAAUAAAUGGCUAGUACUGAGUGACUUGUGUGUUCCAGCAGGGAAGCCAAGGCAGAGAUGUUGGCAGCACGAGGAUAAAGCUGGGAUAUUUCUGAGCCUUGCCAUCAUUUUUGGUUCAGAAAGGGGCUUCCCUGCUGAGGAGCCAUGCUCUUUCCACGAUGAAGAACUAGAGACCAUCUUAUGCGGUGGGCUGGCAGAGAGGAGCCAUACAGUGAAGUGUAAAUUGCUCAGGAUCACAAUUCAGAGGACAUGGGCUCUCACCUUGGCUCUAUGACUCAUUUUGUGCCUUUCACCCCUACAAUCUCUCUGAAGCUCAGUCUCUGAAUGAAUGAAAUGAGACUGACCAAACCAAUCUGGC